rnacentral:rRNA from 1 species
UACAGAGGGGGCAAGCGUUAUUCGGAAUUAUUGGGCGUAAAGGGCGCGUAGGCGGCUUUGCAAGUGACGGGUGAAAUCCCUCGGCUUAACCGAGGAACUGCCUGUCAGACUGCAUGGCUUGAGGCCAGGAGAGGUGAGUGGAAUUCCCAGUGUAGCGGUGAAAUGCGUAGAUAUUGGGAGGAACACCAGUGGCGAAGGCGGCUCACUGGACUGGUACUGACGCUGAGGCGCGAAAGCGUGGGGAGCAAACAGG